AAUAAGGAGUUGGUCCUGUAAAUGGGUCAAAAAAUUGGAAAAUUUUUCAAAGAUUGUAAGAUUUACUGGUUCACUCGAAAUGUGUUUCCAUUACGCCUUGUUGUGAACUAUACAAUCAUCAAUAUUUGUAAUGUUAAUAUACUAUACUGCUAUACCCUGUAUACUCUAGGAAACAAUACAAAUGAUUCCAGCACAACUUGCAGUACAGGAAAACAUCAAUAUAAUUUUUAUUCUAACUGAACGAACGUUUUCGGCUCGGCGCCAUCAUCCUAGAGUAUACAGGGUUUAGCAGUAUGGUAUAUUAACAUUAUAUAUUCCUUUGUCUGUAGUUUUAUACUAAACUAUUGUUUACAUCAACAUCAUUUAAAUUAAUCAUAAUUUUUGAAUUCUUACACAGCAAAGUCUUUGCUAGGUGAGUAUCAAGACAACUCAUCCUGAAAUCAAAAAAUAUCAUAUAAAUCUUGUGAAAUGCAAUUGUGAUAUUACAAAGCUGAAGGAAAUGAUUUUUUUACAAUGUAUAAUCACUGAUGAAAAAUGUUGGGUUCACUAUUACCAGCCAGAGACUAAGCAGGAAGGAAGUGGUUAACAUUCAUCAUCAUUGAAAUCAAAAAAUUCUGCAUAAUUCAAUCAGCCAGCAAAGAAAUGUUCAUGCUCUUCUGGGACUGUAAAGAUAAAUCCUGAAACAUUACAUAUUUAAAGAAUUUAUUGCGAACAACAAACUAUAUUGUGAUCUGUUUGAGAACCAUAUGAAACCCACAAUCAAGUCAAAAUAUUAGAGUUUUUGUUUUGAUAUGCUGUUACAAUUUGAUAAUGCACAGCUGCACAUAGCUCAUGCAACAAUAGAAAAACUAUUAGAUUUGUGUUUGAAGUGUCUUUCACAUCUCCAUAAUCACUGGAUCUUAUACCAAGUGAUUACCACUCAAGAAGAUACUUAGCAAAAAGUUUAUUACAAAUGAUGAAAUGAAAGAAAUAGUGCAUACAUGACUGCAACCAAAAGAUUUUUUCUCCCAGAAUCCAGGCAUUAUUGAAGCAUUGGCAUACCUGUGUUGAAUAUUGUGGGGAUCAUAUUGAAAAGUGAUGAAGUGUUUUCAUUUGUAUAUGUAUAUAUUUUGUCAAUAAAAAUAUUAAAGUAAAGUUACCUUAAAAAUAUUAAAAUUAUUUUUUGACUCCUCCUUAUAUGAAGUAUUAUGAAUAAUAACC
rnacentral:lncRNA from 1 species